rnacentral:rRNA from 1 species
GUGGCGAACGGGUGAGUAACACGUGAGCAAUCUGCCCUUGACUCUGGGAUAACUGCGGGAAACUGUAGCUAAUACCGGAUACUUUCCUCGCUGGGCAUCCAGCGGGGAAGAAAGAAUUUCGGUCAAGGAUGAGCUCGCGGCCUAUCAGCUAGUUGGUGAGGUAAUGGCUCACCAAGGCGACGACGGGUAGCCGGCCUGAGAGGGUGACCGGCCACACUGGAACUGAGACACGGUCCAGACUCCUACGGGAGGCAGCAGUGGGGAAUAUUGCACAAUGGGCGAAAGCCUGAUGCAGCAACGCCGCGUGAGGGAUGAAGGCCUUCGGGUUGUAAACCUCUUUUAGCAGGGAAGAAGCGAAAGUGACGGUACCUGCAGAAAAAGCACCGGCUAACUACGUGCCAGCAGCCGCGGUAAUACGUAGGGUGCAAGCGUUGUCCGGAAUUAUUGGGCGUAAAGAGCUCGUAGGCGGUUUGUCACGUCUGCUGUGAAAAUCCGAGGCUCAACCUCGGACUUGCAGUGGGUACGGGCAGGCUAGAGUGCGGUAGGGGAGAAGGGAAUUCCCGGUGUAGCGGUGGAAUGCGCAGAUAUCAGGAGGAACACCAAUGGCGAAGGCACUUCUCUGGGCCGUAACUGACGCUGAGGAGCGAAAGCGUGGGGAGCGAACAGGAUUAGAUACCCUGGUAGUCCAC